rnacentral:rRNA from 1 species
CCUACGGGAGGCAGCAGUGAGGAAUAUUGGGCAAUGGACGAGAGUCUGAACCAGCCAAGUAGCGUGAAGGAUGACUGCCCUAUGGGUUGUAAACUUCUUUUAUAUGGGAAUAAAAUGUUCCAUGUGUGGGAUUUUGUAUGUACCUUAUUAAUAAGGAUCGGCGAACUCCGUGCAAGCAGCCGCGGUAAUACGGAGGAUCCGAGCGUUAUCCGGAUUUAUUGGGUGUAAAGGGAGCGUAGGUGGAUUGUUAAGUCAGUUGUGAAAGUUUGCGGCUCAACCGUAAAAUUGCAGUUGAAACUGGCAGUCUUGAGUACAGGAGAGGUGGGCGGAAUUCGGGGUGUAGCGGUGAAAUGCUUAGAUAUCACGAAGAACUCCGAUUGCGAAGGCAGAUCACUGGACUGCAACUGACACUGAGGCUCGAAAGUGUGGGUAUCAAACAGGAUUAGAUACCCUAGUAGUC